GAUGAACGCUAGCGAUAGGCCUAACACAUGCAAGUCGAGGGGCAGCACAUGAAGUAGCAAUACGGAUGGUGGCGACCGGCGCACGGGUGAGUAACGCGUAUGCAACCUGCCUACAACAGGGGAAUAACCCGUUGAAAGACGGACUAAUACCCCAUAACACAGGGAUCCCGCAUGGGAAUAUUUGUUAAAGAUUUAUUGGUUGUAGAUGGGCAUGCGUUCCAUUAGCUUGUUGGUGAGGUAACGGCUCACCAAGGCAACGAUGGAUAGGGGAACUGAGAGGUUUAUCCCCCACACUGGUACUGAGACACGGACCAGACUCCUACGGGAGGCAGCAGUGAGGAAUAUUGGUCAAUGGACGCAAGUCUGAACCGGCCACGUCGCGUGAAGGAAGACGGCCCUACGGGUUGUAAACUUCUUUUGUAAGGGAAUAAAGUGCAGUAUGUGUACUGUAUUGCAUGUACCUUACGAAUAAGGAUCGGCUAACUCCGUGCCAGCAGCCGCGGUAAUACGGAGGAUCCGAGCGUUAUCCGGAUUUAUUGGGUUUAAAGGGUGCGCAGGCGGGAGAUUAAGUCGGCGGUGAAAUUUUGCAGCUCAACUGUAAAAGUGCCUUCGAAACUGGUUUUCUUGAGUGUGGAUGAAGUAGGCGGAAUUUGUGGUGUAGCGGUGAAAUGCAUAGAUAUCACGAGGAACUCCGAUUGCGCAGGCAGCUUACUAAACCAUAACUGACGCUCAGGCACGAAGGCGUGGGGAUCAAACA
rnacentral:rRNA from 1 species